rnacentral:rRNA from 1 species
UACGUAGGGUGCGAGCGUUGUCCGGAAUUACUGGGCGUAAAGAGCUCGUAGGUGGUUUGUCGCGUUGUCCGUGAAAACUCACAACUCAAUUGUGGGCGUGCGGGCGAUACGGGCAGACUGGAGUACUGCAGGGGAGACUGGAAUUCCUGGUGUAGCGGUGGAAUGCGCAGAUAUCAGGAGGAACACCGGUGGCGAAGGCGGGUCUCUGGGCCGAUACUGACGCUGAGGAGCGGAAGCGUGGGGAGCGAACAGG